UCUAGAAAUCAAAUUUUAUAAUUUUUCGACAUCAUUUACCUUACGAUCAAGUGGUCACAAAUUUGACAAUUUUUAACGGCCGAUAUGGGAUACUUGCUAGUUUAACGGUGUAAAAGAAUCGGAAUUUGUUGAAUUUUUGAUAGAAAAUUCUAUUCACUACAUAGAUAAAGAUCAAUAACUCCGAUCUUGAAACGAAGGAUCCGAUCAUCCUUUUUUAGGACGUCGUUCGAUUUUGACUGUUCAUUUUAUGCCCACAUGAUGGACUUUAUUAUGAUUUCGAAAAUUUACGAAAUUUUCUAGAGUAUUGGAGCCCUCGUACUCAUAAGUUGUUUUCGAUGAUGGAGCUUCUGAAUCGACGAUCCACUCCGUUAAAUAUGAUCUAAAGUAUUUGAAACUUCUAGAAAAUAAAUUUUAUAAAUUUUCGAAAUCAUAAUAAAGUCCAUCAAGUGGGCAUAAAAUGAACGGUCUAAAUCGAACGACGUCCUAAAAAAGGAUGAUCGGAUCCUUUAAUUCAAGAUCGGAGUUAUUGACCUUUAUCUAUGUAGUGAAUAGAAUUUUCUAUCAAAAAUUCAACAAAUUCCGAUUCUUUUACACCGUUAAACUAGUAAGUAUCCCAUACCGGCCGUUAAAAAUUGUCAAAUUUGUGACCU
rnacentral:lncRNA from 1 species